rnacentral:misc_RNA from 1 species
AUAAAUUGAUCUUGGCCAGUCUUUAAACGGUCUGGCCAGAGUUUCUCUCGCGAAAGCGGGUCGGAAACCCAAACCCUUCUGUGAACUGUUUUCUGUCUCUGGCGGUGGGGUUUUUGCGAGGAGCUUUACCGCUCAUUCGCAGCCUGUCAGCAGCGACCAGCCUCCUUCUUUUUCGGGAGGAGGUGGAACGGUGCCGUGGACAAGCCGCCAACCAUUUGUUGAACAACUCUUAUGCUAAGACGACUCUGUCUAACCUUAAUUCUUUUGUAUGAAUGUACAAAAA